UCACCAGUUCAUCCUAUGGCAACUUUAAGAUGUAACCAUGCAGUCAACCUCUCCUUAAGACCACCAAGACUGAAGGUAUUGGACCCAGUGAGUGCUGACUGUUUUUUAUCUAGAGUAAGUUCUCAGUAAGGUGUUAUGUUGCCUGCAACACAGGAUCGAGGAAUGUUGGGGCUGUAAAAGGCUCAGCACUACUGAGACAAGGAGACUUUCAAACAUCUACAGUGAGGUGCAUAAACAACAAGCAAAUACAAAAAACAACCUCUCAUGCAGUCAAGGUUAAAAGAAAGAUGGAAGGAAAAGGA